UUUGUUAUUAAAUUAAUAAUUAUACAAUGUCAUUAAGAAAUUGUAGUAAAAUAUAAUAAAAUCAUAUUGUUUAUUAUGAAGUAAAAAGUGUUCUCAAAUAAUUUUACUAAACUUACAUACGUAAAGUGCAAAAAUGGACUUGAAAACUUUCGCUGAUAAUGAAUUUGACCCCAAGGACUGGAUCAACCGAGCUUGGAGUAUUAGUGGGAAUCAAGAAAAAGAGAUAUUCAUAGCCAAUACAGUGACAAGACUUCAACUGUAUAUGAAACAACUUAGUAACUCAUUAGAUGAAACAACAACUCAAAUACUUUCAUCUGUGCCUCGAAUCAUUUAAGAUGUUUCAUCGUUACAACUAGAAGGUGGGUUACUCCAACAGAAGUUAAGGAGCUUAGAACAGCAGGUUUAGAGUGUGGAAGAAGAGACUGGGCACUCUAUUGAGAGCUUACAGAAGAUAGAUUUAUUGAAGAGCCGAUUAGAGAUACUUUCAUCUGUGCCUCGAAUCAUUCAAGAUGUUUCAUCGUUACAACUAGAAGGUGGGUUACUCCAACAGAAGUUAAGGAGCUUAGAACAGCAGGUUUAGAGUGUGGAAGAAGAGACUGGGCACUCUAUUGAGAGCUUACAGAAGAUAAAUUUAUUGAAGAGCCGAUUAGAGGUACUCUGGCAGUGGAAAUUCGAUAAACUUGCAUUUCAAAUUUAAACGUGGAAGAUCAACAAUUUCUAGAACUAUUUCGUCAGUUUGUCAAGCUGUGUGGAAAUAUCUUCGACCACAGUACAUAGAAGAGGUUACAGAAAAACAACAAAAUAUUGUAUUAGAUUUUGAUCUCACAGCCAACUUUUGCUUUGGGGCAAUUGAUGGGAAACAUAUACGUUUGAUAAAACCGGACAAAAGUUGCUCUGUUUUAUAAUUACAAAAAUUAUUUUUCAAUUGUUUUGCUGGCUGUUGUUGACUCAAAUUAUAAGUUUGUUUUUGUCGACGUGGGAGCGCUUCGACGCUUUACAAGAAUUUACUUAAUGAGAAAUGAAUUACCAUUACCUG